UGGGGAAUAUUGCGCAAUGGGGGCAACCCUGACGCAGCCAUGCCGCGUGAAUGAAGAAGGCCUUAGGGUUGUAAAGUUCUUUCGGUAUUGAGGAAGGUUGAUGUGUUAAUAGCACAUCAAAUUGACGUUAAAUACAGAAGAAGCACCGGCUAACUCCGUGCCAGCAGCCGCGGUAAUACGGAGGGUGCGAGCGUUAAUCGGAAUAACUGGGCGUAAAGGGCACGCAGGCGGUUAUUUAAGUGAGGUGUGAAAGCCCUGGGCUUAACCUAGGAAUUGCAUUUCAGACUGGGUAACUAGAGUACUUUAGGGAGGGGUAGAAUUCCACGUGUAGCGGUGAAAUGCGUAGAGAUGUGGAGGAAUACCGAAGGCGAAGGCAGCCCCUUGGGAAUGUACUGACGCUCAUGUGCGAAAGCGUGGGGAGCAAACAGGAUUAGAUACCCUGGUAGUCCACGCUGUAAACGCUGUCGAUUUGGGGGUUGGGGUUUAACUCUGGCGCCCGUAGCUAACGUGAUAAAUCGACCGCCUGGGGAGUACGGCCGCAAGGUUA
rnacentral:rRNA from 1 species